GUGAGGAAUAUUGGUCAAUGGGCGCAAGCCUGAACCAGCCAUGCCGCGUGCAGGAAGACGGUCCUAUGGAUUGUAAACUGCUUUUAUUUGGGAAUAAACUCCGGUACGUGUACCGGCCUGAAGGUACCAAAUGAAUAAGCACCGGCUAACUCCGUGCCAGCAGCCGCGGUAAUACGGAGGGUGCAAGCGUUAUCCGGAACCAUUGGGUUUAAAGGGUCCGCAGUCGGUCAUAUAAGUCAGUGGUGAAAGCCUACAGCUCAACUGUAGAACUGCCAUUGAUACUGUAUGACUUGAAUUCGAUCGAAGUGGGCGGAAUGUGACAUGUAGCGGUGAAAUGCUUAGAUAUGUCACAGAACACCGAUAGCGAAGGCAGCUCACUAGGUCUGGAUUGACGAUCAGGGACGAAAGCGUGGGGAGCAAACAGGAUUAGAUACCCUAGUAGUCC
rnacentral:rRNA from 1 species